GACGAACGCUGGCGGCGUGCUUAACACAUGCAAGUCGAACGGAAAGGCCCUGCUUUUGUGGGGUGCUCGAGUGGCGAACGGGUGAGUAACACGUGAGUAACCUGCCCUUGACUUUGGGAUAACUUCAGGAAACUGGGGCUAAUACCGGAUAGGAGCUCCUGCUGCAUGGUGGGGGUUGGAAAGUUUCGGCGGUUGGGGAUGGACUCGCGGCUUAUCCGCUUGCUGGUGGGGUAGUGGCUUACCAAGGCUUUGACGGGUAGCCGGCCUGAGAGGGGGACCGGCGACAUUGGGACUGAGGGAGGGCCCAGACGCGUACGGGAGGCAGCGGGGGGGAAUAUUGCACAGUGGGCGGAAGCCUGAUGCAGCAACGCCGCGUGCGGGAUGACCGCCUUCGGGUUGUAAACCGCUUUCGCCGGUGACGAAGCGUGAGUGACGGUAAUGGGUAAAGAAGCACCGGCUAACUACGUG
rnacentral:rRNA from 1 species